GAUGAGGUCAGACAGAGAACAGGGAGCUGGUGAGUCAUGGUGAAGAUGUUGUCUUUUAGUGAGUGUGGCAGGAGCCACAGAAGGGAUUUGAGGAGGAGAAUGACAUCAUGUCACUUCUGUCAAAGGAUUCUGCUGCCAUAUGGGGACCUUUCUGUUGGGGACAAGGGCAGAAGCAGCGAGGAGGUGACUGCAAUUUUCCAGGUCCAUAAAAGCCCCAGGCUCCACCAGAGCAGGGCAGAGGGCAGAGGACAGAGAGACAAUGGGAUUACCACCUGCACAGAGGAGCUACCCUCUCUACUGAGAGCUUCAGAGACCUGCAGAGACGCCUACAUGACCUGCCUGCCGAGAGGAACCACCCUCUUCAGGGCCUCAUCUCUGCUGAGAGCUGAACACUCGAUGGGGUGACCUGCCUACUGAGAGGAGCUGCCCACUGACGGUCUCCUCUGAGCUGUUCUAAGACUAAAUAAAGCUCCUAUUCAUCUUCUUCACCCUU
rnacentral:lncRNA from 1 species